UACAGAGGUCUCAAGCGUUGUUCGGAUUCAUUGGGCGUAAAGGGUGCGUAGGUGGCGCCGUAAGUCAGGUGUGAAAUCUCGGAGCUCAACUCCGAAACUGCACUUGAUACUGCGGUGCUUGAGGACUGGAGAGGAGACUGGAAUUCAUGGUGUAGCAGUGAAAUGCGUAGAGAUCAUGAGGAAGACCAGUGGCGAAGGCGGGUCUCUGGACAGUUCCUGACACUGAGGCACGAAGGCCAGGGGAGCAAACGGG
rnacentral:rRNA from 1 species